rnacentral:rRNA from 1 species
AGAUUGAACGCUGGCGGCAUGCCUUACACAUGCAAGUCGAACGGUAACAGGUUAAGCUGACGAGUGGCGAACGGGUGAGUAAUAUAUCGGAACGUGCCCAGUAGUGGGGGGAUAGCCCGGCGAAAGCCGGAUUAAUACCGCAUACGACCUACGGGUGAAAGCGGGGGAUCGCAAGACCUCGCGCUAUUGGAGCGGCCGAUAUCAGAUUAGCUUGUUGGUGGGGUAAAAGCCCACCAAGGCGACGAUCUGUAGCUGGUCUGAGAGGACGACCAGCCACACUGGGACUGAGACACGGCCCAGACUCCUACGGGAGGCAGCAGUGGGGAAUUUUGGACAAUGGACGAAAGUCUGAUCCAGCCAUGCCGCGUGCGGGAAGAAGGCCUUCGGGUGUAACCGCUUUGUCAGGGAAGAAAGUCUCGGGUUAAUACCUUGGGAUGAUGACGGUACCUGAAGAAUAAGCACCGGCUAACUACGCGCCAGCAGCCGCGGU